AGUGCAUCCAGCAGGGCAUAGCAGAAGCGUUCAUGGUGCAGCCGGUCAGAUUCCAAAGAAUCUGCAAAUGCUGUU
rnacentral:ribozyme from 1 species